GCGUGAGUGAUGAAGGCCUUAGGGUUGUAAAGCUCUUUCGGCGGGGACGAUGAUGACGGUACCCGCAGAAGAAGCCCCGGCUAACUUCGUGCCAGCAGCCGCGGUAAUACGAAGGGGGCUAGCGUUGUUCGGAAUUACUGGGCGUAAAGGGCGCGUAGGCGGUUUUGUAAGUCAGAUGUGAAAGCCCCGGGCUCAACCCGGGAAUAGCAUUUGAUACUGCGAGGCUUGAGUCCGGGAGAGGAUGGCGGAAUUCCCAGUGUAGAGGUGAAAUUCGU
rnacentral:rRNA from 1 species